AUUUUUUCACAAAGUAUGAUUUUUCCCUUUCUCCAAUUUUGAAAUCUAUCUCCCUCACGCUUUCUUCAUUGAUUCAUACUCGCCAAAACCUUCUUCUGCAUUUUUUGUUCUUAAUAUGAUUUUUUUCCUCAACAAAUAUGUGGGUUCAUCAUUUACAGGUAUGAUUUCUUCUUACAACUUCCUAUAUCUACAUUAUCUCACUCACUCAAUCUCCUUUAUCAUGAGAUCUUAUAGCAAGGUAAGAGGUAUCAAUAAGGUAACAAAUAUUACUCAUUUCUCUCCACUUUUGUAACAUAUGAGUCUGCAUGUUCAUUUUGUGUUACAUGUUUGUUUAAGAAUUUUUUUAAAUUAAUGUUUUUGGAAGAAACGUUGUGAGAAGAUGAAAAUUUGCAUUUUAGGUUUUAGCUUUUCUUUCCUAAAAAUGUUAUUCUGAAGCCUUAAGCAUUUCAAGUGAUCCGGAGCUGCAAGAGUUACACCCAAUUUCUCAAGCCUCACACCCAAUUUUUCAUUUCAUUUUCCAUUCACAUUUGAUGGAUUUUCAGUAUCAAAUCUUUCUUAUGAUAAUCAGUAUAUUUCCUGUAAUUUCCACCUCCUAACUUUUUGAACUAGCUUUUAAAUUUUUAGUUGAACAUAAUAAUCUCCCACAAGAAGCAAACCACUUUUCGACAUUUAUACCAUUUACAGUUGCAUUUGCAAAAUUUAUGUGAAUGGAUCUCUUAUCUCUCUUGAUCCAUAAAAGAAAACAUAAAACUUGCAACUUUGUUUUUUGUUUUUGUUUUGAAUGAUGGCUUUUCCUGGAACAUUGAACUGAUUAAGCAACAACUGACAAAGUAACCUUUGAUAUUUAAACACUCAUACACCUAUCUACCUAAGUUAAUGAUGUUUAAAUUAUAGAUUAACAAAUUAAAAUUGAAAUAGUAAUAUGCUCCCAAC
rnacentral:lncRNA from 1 species